rnacentral:rRNA from 1 species
UACGGGGGGGGCAAGCGUUGUUCGGAAUUACUGGGCGUAAAGGGUUCGUAGGUGGCCAACUAAGUCAGACAUGAAAUCCCUCAGCUUAACUGGGGAACUGCGUCUGAUACUGGCGAGCUUGAGUGCAGGAGAGGAACGCGGAAUUCCAGGUGUAGCGGUGAAAUGCGUAGAUAUCUGGAGGAACACCGGUGGCGAAGGCGGCGUUCUGGACUGCAACUGACACUGAGAAACGAAAGCCAGGGUAGCAAACGGG